rnacentral:rRNA from 1 species
UACGGAGGGGACUAGCGUUGUUCGGAAUUACUGGGCGUAAAGCGCACGUAGGCGGAUUUGUAAGUCAGGGGUGAAAUCCCAGAGCUCAACUCUGGAACUGCCUUUGAUACUGGGUGUCUUGAGUAUGGAAGAGGUGAGUGGAAUUCCGAGUGUAGAGGUGAAAUUCGUAGAUAUUCGGAGGAACACCAGUGGCGAAGGCGGCUCACUGGUCCAUUACUGACGCUGAGGUGCGAAAGCGUGGGGAGCAAACAGG